UGGCCUGGACAUUCCUGGUAGAGGAGUCCCC
rnacentral:piRNA from 1 species